rnacentral:rRNA from 1 species
GACGAACGCUGGCGGCGUGCCUAAUACAUGCAAGUAGAACGCUGAAGAGAGGAGCUUGCUCUUCUUGGAUGAGUUGCGAACGGGUGAGUAACGCGUAGGUAACCUGCCUGGUAGCGGGGGAUAACUAUUGGAAACGAUAGCUAAUACCGCAUAAAAUGGAUUAUCGCAUGAUAAUCCAUUGAAAGGUGCAAAUGCAUCACUACCAGAUGGACCUGCGUUGUAUUAGCUAGUUGGUGGGGUAACGGCUCACCAAGGCGACGAUACAUAGCCGACCUGAGAGGGUGAUCGGCCAACCUGGGACCGGGACACGGCCCAGACUCCUAAGGGAGGCAGGAGUAGGGAAUCUUCGGCAAUGGACGGAAGUCUGACCGGGCAACGCCGGGUGAGUGAAGAAGGUUUUCCGAUCGUAAAGCUCUGUUUUAAGAGAAGAAAGAGUGUGGGAGUGGAAAGUUCACACUGUGACGGUAUCUUACCAGAAAGGGACGGCUAACUACGUG